GGGCUUAUAGUUUAACGGACAGAAUAGAAGGCUUCGGACCUUCAGACCUGGGUUCAAUUCCCAGUAAGCCCA
rnacentral:tRNA from 2 species